rnacentral:lncRNA from 1 species
AAUGCCAAACUUAUCUUAGACACCAAUUGGUUAAUUAGUUUCGAUUUGACCAACCUAAUGAUUUGGGUUCAACCACUGAGCCACAACAAGGUCCAUUUGGUCUAAUCAAAGAUAUGGACUUGACCAUUUACAACUAUUGUAUUGGCUCUAGAGAAAUUCUGAUUUAAUCUAAUUCAAUAUUUAGAUAAAUUUAAUAAUUUUUUUUAUUUAGUCCAUUAACUCUUUGAUUCUAACAUUAGGUUUAACCCAAUUA